UGCUUUAUGAAUAAAAAUAUAAAGUAGUCUCCUGCCCAGUGAAUAUUUUAAACGGCCGCGGUAUCCUAACCGUGCAAAGGUAGCAUAAUAAUUUGCCCAUUAAUUGUGGGCUAGAAUGAAGGGGGUAACGAAAUAAGUACUGUCUCCUUAAGAAAUAUAAAAACUAAUAUUCAAGUGAAGAAGCUUAAAUAUAAUUAAAGGACAAGAAGACCCUAUAGAGCUUUAAUUUUAACUAAUAUACUAUUAAUAAGAUUUCGGUUGGGGCGACCAAGGAUAAAUCAUCCUUAAAUAUAAAGAUAAACAUAUCUAUAAACGACCCUUUAUAUAAGAUUCAAGGAACAAGCUACCUUAGGGAUAACAGGCUAAUCCUAUUAUAGAGCUCAUAUCGACAAUAGGGAUUGGCACCUCGAUGUUGGCUUAGAAUAUCUCUAUGACGCAGAAGUCAUAUAAAGAAGGUUUGUUCAACCUAUAAUAUUCU
rnacentral:rRNA from 1 species